rnacentral:rRNA from 1 species
CCCUUAGAUGUCCUGGGCCGCACGCGCGUUACACUGAUGCAUUCAACGAGCUUAUAACCUUGGCCGAGAGGCCUGGGCAAUCUUGUUAACGUGCAUCGUGAUAGGGAUAGAUUAUUGAAAUUAUUAAUCUUGAACGAGGAAUUCCUAGUAAACGCAGAUCAUCAAUCUGCAUUGAUUACGUCCCUGCCCUUUGUACACACCGCCCGUCGCACCUACCGAUUGAACGUUCCGGUGAGACCUUGGGAUUUGGUCUUUGAUACUUUAUUGUGUCGUUGACCGAAAAACUUGAGCAAACCUUAACGUUUAGAGGAAGGUGAAGUCGUAACA